rfam:Verrucomicrobia bacterium GWF2_62_7 gwf2_scaffold_15206, whole genome shotgun sequence.
UCGUGCUAGAUGGGGCGGUAGCGGUGCCCUGACGACCGGCGCGAGCCGGCCGGACCUGCAACCCGCUAUAGCAGGGUCGAAUUCCCGAUCGAGAACGUCGUGCCGGCGGGACGAACCGCGCGUUGAGGCGUUGACGGCUGGGUUCCAUGCGACGGAAGGCGGCGAACCCCGCCAGGACCGGAAGGUAGCAACGGUAAACCGAUUUUUUCGUGUGCCGUGGAGUUGCCUGGCCUGAGUCGAAGCGCGCGGCAUCGCCGUCUGACCGGCGGCCGACAUUGGGUGCACGG